rnacentral:rRNA from 1 species
UAUUUUCCUUUUUUGCCAGCAGCCGCGGUAAUACGUAGGGGGCAAGCGUUAUCCGGAUUUACUGGGUGUAAAGGGAGCGUAGACGGACUGGCAAGUCUGAUGUGAAAGGCGGGGGCUCAACCCCUGGACUGCAUUGGAAACUGUUAGUCUUGAGUGCCGGAGAGGUAAGCGGAAUUCCUAGUGUAGCGGUGAAAUGCGUAGAUAUUAGGAGGAACACCAGUGGCGAAGGCGGCUUACUGGACGGUAACUGACGUUGAGGCUCGAAAGCGUGGGGAGCAAACAGG